rnacentral:rRNA from 1 species
AUUGAACGCUGGCGGCAGGCCUAACACAUGCAAGUCGAGCGGAGGAAGGGAGCUUGCUCCUGGAUUCAGCGGCGGACGGGUGAGUAAUGCCUAGGAAACUGCCUGGUAGUGGGGGAUAACGUCCGGAAACGGGCGCUAAUACCGCAUACGUCCUGAGGGAGAAAGUGGGGGAUCUUCGGACCUCACGCUAUCAGAUGAGCCUAGGUCGGAUUAGCUAGUUGGUGGGGUAAAGUCCUACCAAGGCGACGAUCCGUAACUGGUCUGAGAGGAUGAUCAGUCACACUGGAACUGAGACACGGUCCAGACUACUACGGGAGGCAGCAGUGGGGAAUAUUGGACAAUGGGCGAAAGCCUGAUCCAGCCAUGCCGCGUGUGUGAAGAAGGUCUUCGGAUUGUAAAGCACGUUAAGUUGGGAGGAAGGGCAGUAAGUUAAUACCUUGCUGUUUUGACGUUACCAACAGAAUAAGCACCGGCUAACUUCGUG